rnacentral:lncRNA from 1 species
AAGAAAAGAAAUUUUUAUUGACUUUUCUUCAUUUUCUUCUUCCACAUUUGGUAGGAACAAGGAAAAAUUUCCACAAAAUAAUUCUCUGAUAUCAGAGAGGACAAGAAUAACAAGUUAAUUUCUCUGCUACAGUUACUUCUGUCUGCUACAGCCACUUCUUUUUCCACUUAUAAUAAUGAACCAUCAAUUUAAAGAUGAAUAAAUAAGAUAUAAUACUUGUAAUAUAUCAAACAUCUCUGUAUUGGUGCUUAAUCUAAGCACAUAAAUAGUAAGUAUGACUUGAAAAAUUCUGCAAACAAAAGAUAACGUUAACUAGUAUCACUCAAUGAAAAAAUAGCUUUCUUUUAUAAUUCUUCCAUAUUUUUAUUACUUUUUGAACGAAUUAGAAAAUGUCAUGCACUCUCUUUCUUUUCACAGCCUCCCAAUUACUCCAAAUUUUAUUCGAGUUGCCAUAAAUAGGUCAACAGCUCCAUGAGCUUAAGAAUCAAUAACCAUUUAAGCCAGUGUUAACUCAUGUGGAAAAGUUCAGAACAAAUCAGCAUCACCUGCUUGGCUCUCUUGCACAUACAUAAAAUUUAUACUGCUUAACCAAUUUUCAAAAGUGUAACUUUGUGUACAUAAAUUUAAAACUGAGGCCAAAUUUUACUUAUUAUUUAUUCCCAGUACUGGGCUACUGUCAAGAGCAAUUAACUUUCCUAACAAAUACAUUCUUAUAAAAUUCUACAAUGAAGUUAAGUCUAUGCUUAAUCAUUCAGAAAAAGAAAAUUAUGUAACAUACAGUAGUAUAAUGAUGACGAUGAUGAUAAUAUAUAAUGCUAUUCUGGAACCUACUGAGAGCUGCAGUUCAAAAAGAGAAAAUGUGAA